rnacentral:rRNA from 1 species
CCUACGGGAGGCAGCAGUGAGGAAUAUUGGUCAAUGGGCGCGAGCCUGAACCAGCCAAGUAGCGUGAAGGAUGACGGCCCUACGGGUUGUAAACUUCUUUUAUAAGGGAAUAAAGUGAGGCACGUGUACCUUUUUGUAUGUACUUUAUGAAUAAGGAUCGGCUAACUCCGUGCCAGCAGCCGCGGUAAUACGGAGGAUCCGAGCGUUAUCCGGAUUUAUUGGGUUUAAAGGGAGCGUAGGUGGGUUGUUAAGUCAGUUGUGAAAGUUUGGGGCUCAACCCUAGAAUUGCAGGUGAUACUGGCAGUCUUGAGUAGAUGUGAGGUAGGCGGAAUUCGUGGUGUAGCGGUGAAAUGCUUAGAGAUCACGAAGAACUCCGAUUGCGAAGGCAGCUUA